rnacentral:rRNA from 1 species
AAAGUUCUUUUAUUUAGGAAAAAAAGCUUGAGAGGAAAUGAUUAAGCCUUGAUUGUACUAAAUGAAUAAGUGACAGCUAACUAUGUGCCAGCAGCUGCGGUAAAACAUAGGUCACGAGCAUUAUCCGGAUUUAUUGGGCGUAAAGGAAGCGUAGGCGGACAAAUUGAUCUAUUGUUAAAGGCACUUGCUCAACGAGUUGUUUGUGAUAGAUAUCGUUUGUCUAGAAUUAGUUAGGAGAUACUGGAAUUCAAUGUGUAGCGGUGGAAUGCGUAGAUAUAUUGAGGAACACCAGAGGCUAAGGCGAGUAUCUAGGACAUAAUUGACGCUGAGGCUUGAAAGCGUGGGGAGCAAAUGGGAUUAGAUACCCCAGUAGUCCACGCCGUAAACGAUGGGUAUUAGGUAUUUGGUUUAGGACUGAGUGCUGUAGCU